rnacentral:rRNA from 1 species
ACUCCUACGGGAGGCAGCAGUGAGGAAUAUUGCGCAAUAGGCGAAAGCCUGACGCAGCAACGCCGCGUGGAGGAUGAAGGCUCUCGGGUUGUAAACUCCUUUCAGGAGGGACGAAGUAGAUUGGGCAACCAAUCGGACGGUACCUCCAGAAGAAGCCACAGCUAACUCUGUGCCAGCAGCCGCGGUAAU